rnacentral:rRNA from 1 species
CCGAAAGCUAUUUAGGUAGCGCCUCGUGAACUCAUCUUCGGGGGUAGAGCACUGUUUCGGCUAGGGGGUCAUCCCGACUUACCAACCCGAUGCAAACUACGAAUACCGAAGAAUGUUAUCACGGGAGACACACGGCGGGUGCUAACGUCCGUCGUGAAGAGGGAAACAACCCAGACCGCCAGCUAAGGUCCCAAAGUCAUGGUUAAGUGGGAAACGAUGUGGGAAGGCACAGACAGCCAGGAUGUUGGCUUAGAAGCAGCCAUCAUUUAAAGAAAGCGUAAUAGCUCACUGGUCGAGUCGGCCUGCGCGGAAGAUGUAACGGGGCUAAACCAUGCACCGAAGCUGCGGCAGCGACACUAU